CACUUCCCUCACUCACUCCAAUUUGUUGCCCAGGGCCUCCAGCACCCGAGGGGAAUACAAUCUGUCACACAGUGUCAGCGUUCAGCUCCUGCCUCCUACAUGCAGAGGAGGAGUUGGGCCAGCAGGGUUGGACAUGGCUGCAAGGGAGAUUUUUAUUUAUUUUUUUAAUUAAUAUAUUUUGUGUUCCAGGUCAAAUCAGCCCCAUUGUAUCGAUUGAGCAGAACUCAAUUGUUCCAAAAACCAUAUGGAUUGAGCAGGCAGGACUCAAUCAUUCUCAACACCACCUAUGGUGCAACAACCGGCGAGCAACCUCCAUCCCAGGCUUUCACCCUGGGAUUUCAGAUACUCCCAAAUCCAUUGGCAGGCAUCCCAUGUGCAGGCCCAGGGCUGGAGGACUUGGGAUUCAGAUGCCCCAGCUUGAUCCAAGAGGCUGAGACACCUGAUUUGAGCCAAAAGGCCGAGAAGCUGCAAGGGAGAAAAUGCACCAAAACCACCUUGCAUAUCUAACCUGCUAGGGAUGGACGGAAACGCCCAGCACUGAGGGGCCCUGCCUCAGCACAGCACAGUCAGGUAGAAGCGGAGGCCCUCCCCUUGGCCAGAGGCCGUCCCUUUUAACCAUGAGCCACCCUGGGCCCGCCUGCCCCCACCACUUCCUCCGCCAGGGCCGCAUUUCAGAGCAAUGAACUUGGUAGGCAGGUUUUUCCUGCCUUGGGUUGCUAUGGAAACCUUCCUGAAAGCAGCCAUCUGGGACCUGGCAGAGAGAAAGACACUCAGCCUUGCUGCUGGCCUGCGAGUGCCAGGGGUGUGCAAGAGGACAGGGUGGGGGUGGAGGAAUCACAUCAGGAAGGCAGGUCACACGCUGCCUAGACGCAGGAGCCAAGGAAAAUGUCAUCUACCUGGACUUUAAGAAGGCCUUCGACACAGUUUUGCAUCCUAUUCUCAUAAGAAAUCUAGCAAGCUGUGGAGUGGAUGCUUACACAGUCAGGUUUCAACCCAGAGCAUCAGAGACUUGCUCCCUGGCCUCUGCUGAGAGAACCAACACAAGGCAAUUGUCACAGUGGUUUUAUGAUGUAGACAUCAGUCCACAGAGAACUGGACCAAGACCAGCAGCUCAUUUCACUCAAACCAUUGAAGAGUCAUCAUCAUCAGAAUGCAGCAAUUUCAGUUGCUACCAACCCAGCCAGAACUGAUAACAUUGGCUUUCAUACUCUGACUAUUGCCUAUUCUCCAAAUCACACCAUCUAUUUGAAUUCUGCCGUUUGGUAAGGUACUGUCCUGCUCCAGGAUAUCCAAAAGUUAAGUAUAUACCACCCACACCUACCAACAGCAGCAGCAUCUGGAGGCAAGAGGUCCUGAAAUGAGUGUUGUUUGAUCACAAACACAUACAUAAUAAUUCCUCUAUGUUGCUAUUACUACUGUUAACUAUGUACUUCAUCAUCACCCUCCCAAAACAUGGCUUCUUUAAUGGAAAGGAGAGGACAGUGUCUAUAGAACAUCCCUUAUGGACCAGUACAGAGCUGUGCCCCUCCCCCAUGCUCUCAUCAUAUCCCCCUGCUCCCCAAAGGCAGUCAUUUCACAAGUGAUGUCACCUGGCAUUAAGGAGGCACAAAACCCAGUCCUGACUAGGAUGGGGAAAGGUGGUAACAGUUUAUAUAUUCUACCAUUUUUCAAACAAAGUUAACUUAACCUUGCAUUAGCAAGGCAGGGCCAAUCACUAUGCUGGCCAUCCUAAUUACAUGUUAUACCUCUACCCUGUAUGCCUUCAGACUGUAAAUUCCCAGAAGAAGGACUAGUCGAUAAGCCCUCUUGUCUGUUUGGGAACACUACAGAGAAUAAAUAAGAAGUUAAUCCUCUUUCUGGUACCAGAGACCUGUUCUCUCUGGUCUCUGCGGCAACCCAAAGACUGCCUGGAAUCCAGAUUAUCCAGGAAGCAGCAGCGGCCCAUUGUUUCUUUCUGGGCUGGAAGGUGCUCCUAGUGAUCUCAAGAUUCAGCCACCAUACAAUGUCAUGUCUGCUGCUUGCAAGUGCCUUGGUUUGUUCUCAUUUGUUAUCUUUUUUUAAAAGCAAAGGAUGCUUGAUUUCUUCAAGAGACACUUCCUGCUUUACUCUUCUUAAGACAUUGCAUGUAACAAGGUAUCCUGAGGAUGACUAUGAUUUCACAAUGUGGGGACCUAUGACAACAUCUAAAGAAAAACUAAGUUGGUGUUGAAAUCCACAGCAAAAAAGCAACUCCUGCAAUUCAAUCAUCCCCUAAAGCAUUAUGGGAGGAGAAUAUAAAUACGAAAGGAAAAACAUUUCCCUUUUCCGCCCCCCAUCUGACCUUGGCAGCUCUGUAAGCAAUUUCUGAUAGAGCAAGGCCCCAAAACCACUCCCUGCAAAGAGAUUAGGCCUCAUUCACCCUGUUGGUUCUCCCCUUCUCUGCAUUCAUAUCGUCCUGCAUAAGAAACUGUUGCAUAAGUCCCCAUCUUUCCCUCUUGCUUUGCCAUGAUCUGAAAUUCAGAGGGUGGUGGCAUUCCUACUCAUGCCCAAAGCCUGGAGGCUAUUGCCAUGUUUCAAGCCCUGCUUUCCCCCCUCCCCCACAGCAGACAGAAACAGUCUGUCUUUCUCGCUCUCCUCUGAGUGAAUCUGAAAAGAAACAGAACAGGGCGACAUAAAGCCAGCAACGUCAGGUUAACAGUAGUAAAGGCCAAGAGCCUGUGCAUUUGGGAUUGGCGGCUAUCAGGAGAAAGUCAUGAGCUGCCUCUAACCAGCCAUGAACACAGGAAGAUAGAGGAGUGACAGGUGAGGGACAGAGGGCAAGGGAAAUGCAAAGAAGUACAAGGAAACAUGGGCAGAGAAAAUGAAGAUGCCCUUAUGAAACUCAAGCAUGAAGCCUUAGAGAAAAUGAGUCAGGAAGUGGUGGUGCAGCCCCUGAGUCACUACAUCAGGUGAGGUGGAAGCUGCCCGGGGCUGCAAAGGAGAAGUCUCCCCUACAUGACCCCCAUGGGGCAAGCACACACAGCCUUCACGCAGAGACCAGGUAGGAGCCCACCUGCCUGCCCAGCCAGCUGCCAGCACAACCCUACCCAGCAAAUGCCUAGGAAGCGCAAGUACGGCUUUGGUCGCCCAAAAGCAAAGCAGGGCAGUAACGUGGGAAGCUGCUCUGCUCCGGGUCAGGCUGUAGGAGUCAAAGGAGCCUGGUUGGCCACACGCACUUGGAGGUUGCUGUCACCAGGGCUGACACCCUUUGCUUCAGUGCCACGUGUGGACCCUGUCAGUGGCCGCCCCUCGUGGGAGGUGGCCACUGACAGCAGGGAGAGGAAAAGGCCAGCUACUGGGCACCCCUGGGGGGCAGGUGCUCCCCACACUGGGUGGCUCAUGCCCCAUCCCAUCCUGCCAGCUACUGGGGGCUGGCGGGGUCACGUCAGCGGUACCCAUGGGGCAGCCUGCGGACCUCAGGGUCUGGCCAGCCACCUCGUCCAUCCGUCCGUCUUGCUCGCACUCGGGCCCCUGCACCCAUCUGUCUGCUGGGGGCUGCCGUGGAUUUUCCCCUGAGCCUGGACUUGAUGCGCCCGGCCCCUGCCUGGGGGGCACCUAGCUGGGGGCACCGCCUGCCCACACACCCCCUGCCUAGGGCUUUUCUAUCCCU